AUUGAACGCUGGCGGCAUGCUUUACACAUGCAAGUCGAACGGUAACAGGCCUUCGGGUGCUGACGAGUGGCGAACGGGUGAGUAAUGCAUCGGAACGUGCCCAGAGGUGGGGGAUAACGCAGCGAAAGCUGUGCUAAUACCGCAUGUGAUCUGAGGAUGAAAGCGGGGGACCAAGCAGCAAUGUUUGGCCUCACGCCUCUGGAGCGGCCGAUGUCAGAUUAGGUAGUUGGUGGGGUAAAGGCCUACCAAGCCGACGAUCUGUAGCUGGUCUGAGAGGACGACCAGCCACACUGGGACUGAGACACGGCCCAGACUCCUACGGGAGGCAGCAGUGGGGAAUUUUGGACAAUGGGCGCAAGCCUGAUCCAGCAAUGCCGCGUGCGGGAAGAAGGCCUUCGGGUUGUAAACCGCUUUUGUACGGAACGAAAAGGCUCUGGCUAAUACCUGGGGCUGAUGACGGUACCGUAAGAAUAAGCACCGGCUAACUACGUG
rnacentral:rRNA from 1 species